UACAGAGGUCCCAAGCGUUGUUCGGAUUCACUGGGCGUAAAGGGUGCGUAGGUGGGCAGGUAAGUCAGUGGUGAAAUCUCCGGGCUUAACCCGGAAACUGCCGUUGAUACUAUAAAUCUUGAAUGUUGUGGAGGUGAGCGGAAUAUGUCAUGUAGCGGUGAAAUGCUUAGAUAUGACAUAGAACACCAAUUGCGAAGGCAGCUCACUACACAAAGAUUGACACUGAGGCACGAAAGCGUGGGGAUCAAACAGG
rnacentral:rRNA from 1 species